rnacentral:rRNA from 1 species
AAAGCUGAAACUUAAAGGAAUUGACGGAAGGGCACCACCAGGAGUGGAGCCUGUGGCUUAAUUUGACUCAACACGGGAAACCUCACCCGGUCCGGACACUGGAAGGAUUGACAGACUAAAGCUCUUUCUUGAUUCAGUGGGUGGUGGUGCAUGGCCGUUCUUAGUUGGUGGAGUGAUUUGUCUGGUUAAUUCCGAUAACGAACGAGACUCUCGCCUGCUAAAUAGUUUUCCAUACGUUACCUUAUGGAACCUAAACUUCUUAGAGGUACAAGUGGCGUUUAGCCACACGAAACAGAGCAAUAACAGGUCUGUGAUGCCCUUAGAUGUCCGGGGCCGCACAUGUGCUACAAUGAAUGCAUCAACGUGUAUCAGCCUCGCCCGAAAGGGUUGGGGAAUCCGCUGAACGGCAUUCUCAGUAGGGAUUGGGGAUUGCAAUUAUUUCCCAUGAACACGGAAUUCCCAGUAGGCGCCAGUCAUCAGCUGGCGUCGAUUGAGUCCCUGCCCUUUGUACACACCGCCCGUCGCUACUACCGAUCGCUCUUGUUAAUGAGCUUGUCGGAUUGGACCCGGUGAGCAGUCGUUGCGCUCCAUCUCCUCGCGGGGUGGGCCUUCGUCUGCGAGCUUUGGUGUAUGCCGAGAAGAUCGGCAAAUUAUCUGGAGUAGAGGAAGUAAAAGUCGUAACAAGGUAUCCGUAGGUGAACCUGCGGAUGUCCACCACCACCGUCCAGUUAUACUGGAUACUGGGUACGGACGUCCGCCUGGGUGCUUCUCGGUAACAAGGAAAAGCCGCCGGGUGGCGAGUUGUUGACCUAGCCCUCGGA